UACGGAGGAUGCAAGCGUUAUCCGGAAUGAUUGGGCGUAAAGCGUCCGCAGGUGGCAGUUCAAGUCUGCUGUCAAAGACCGGGGCUUAACUUCGGAAAGGCAGUGGAAACUGAACAGCUAGAGUAUGGUAGGGGGCAGAGGGAAUUCCUGGUGUAGCGGUGAAAUGCGCAGAUAUCAGGAGGAACACCGGUGGCGAAGGCGGGUCUCUGGGCAGUAACUGACGCUGAGGAGCGAAAGCGUGGGGAGCGAACAGG
rnacentral:rRNA from 1 species